UUGGCAGGGGCAUAAAACACGAGAAACAACAACUGUUUUUGUUGUCUUAUCUCAAGCAGAGUAUCUUCCAAUUGGGGUCUAAGCUUGAAAUUUAUUAAUUUGCUGGCUGCUACAGAUAUCACUAAGCUGCCUGUAUAUCGUGUGGAAAUCAGGCGGGGGUAUAUCGAUUAAGUCUGGUGAUUUUUUUGUUGCCCAUAAGGUGUUUGAUAGAAUGCCUAUGUGACAAACUCCUUGUGGUUUAACUUAUCUCUGAUUUCUCAUUUUUUCUUAUAAUUUUGAAGAGAUGGGAAAAGCUUCUCGGGACAAAAGAGUAUGUAUUCAUUCAAUAUUCCCCAAUGGCGCCAUAAUAAGAAUAUCAAGCUCGCUUGUUGUUUUUGUGGUGCAGGAUAUAUACUAUAGAAAAGCCAAAGAAGAAGGAUGGCGUGCGAGAAGUGCGUUUAAGCUUCUUCAGAUUGAUGAGGCAUUCAACAUUUUCCAAGGUGUGAAGAGAGUUGUAGAUUUAUGUGCUGCACCUGGUAGCUGGAGUCAGGUUUUGAGUCGUCAAUUGUAUCUUCCAGCAAAGUCCUCAGCUGAGUCAAAAGAAGGAGAUGUUCCUCUUAUAGUGGCCAUAGAUUUGCAGCCUAUGUCUCCAAUCGAAGGUGUCAUCCAGGUUCAAGGGGACAUUACUAAUGCUCGUACUGCCCAACUCGUUAUUAGACACUUUGACGGUAGCAAAGCAGACUUGGUUGUUUGUGAUGGUGCUCCAGAUGUUACCGGUUUGCAUGACAUGGAUGAAUUUGUCCAGUCCCAGCUCAUACUAGCUGGCUUAACAAUUGUAACACAUGUUCUUAGAGAAGGUGGGAAAUUCAUUGCGAAGAUAUUCCGCGGAAAAGAUACAAGUCUCUUGUAUUCUCAGCUCAAGUUGUUUUUCCCAACUGUAACCUUUGCAAAACCGAAAAGCAGCCGCAAUUCUAGCAUAGAGGCUUUUGCAGUCUGCGAAAAUUACUCUCCACCAGAAGUAUUUCACCCAAGAGAUCUGCAUCGUCUCUUGGAGAAAGUGGGCAGCCCUUCAGGUGGAAGCCAUCUCGAUUGCAGUAGUGGUUGGCUUGAAGGACCCAACAAAGUUUAUAUUCCAUUCUUGGCAUGUGGUGACUUAACCGGUUAUGACUCAGACCGGUCUUACCCACUCCCAAAAGAAGCAGAUGGAUCGUCAUACCAGAGUUUGGACCCGGUUCAGCCUCCGAUCGCACCACCUUACAAACGAGCUUUAGAGCUCAAGAAAGCUUCAGCACAAAGCAUCCGAGACGCAUGAGUUUCAACUCUUUUACAUCACAAAAUUUGUUUGGAGCUUUUGAAUCGACCGGAACCUGAGUUGUGUGGGUCACACAUAUUUUAGCAAGACCAGGCAGAGAUGGAGUUUGAUCUCGACAGAGACGAAGAAGAGUACUUUGACUUCACCAGAUAAAUCGACGAUGAAGAGGAACAAGACAAAGACGAAGAAGAAGUAGAAGUAGACUGCGUGGAUUUGGUGUUACUACUAGUCUUCCUUCCCAGUGACAUAAAACGCAACGUUUUGGCGACUCCGGCUCCAAUACGCCGGAGUAAUCUCCUCGCUCUUGGCGAACUCCUGACGCUGAAACUGAAAACUCCGUCGCUGACGACCCUCCGACGACCGUUGUGUGUUGGAUAGAUGAUCGGUUCCUCGUUCCCUCCUUCAGGGUCCGGACUAAAGCUUACUCUUUUGGAUCCUAUUCGAGACAUAUUCUUGUGCCUGCACUCUGUAGGGAGCGAGAGAGAGAAUACCAAAUGGAGACGUGAGACGUUUUGAAGAGUAUUUAUGGGGGAGAAGUGUACGUCUUGAAGAAUUAUGGUGGUGGGGAGAAAUACAAAGUCAGAUGAAAAUGCAGGGUUUAUAUAUGAAAAUAAAUGUGAAAAGUUUCUUUAUAAAUAUAGAUGGUUCAUGAUCUAGCUGUGUUUAGUUUGUAUAUAUAUAAACUAAUGUAUUUGUUUUUUUUUAACAAAACAAAAAACAUUAGCUUGUGGAGUUUU